rnacentral:rRNA from 1 species
GUGGGGAAUAUUCCGCAAUGGACGAAAGUCUGACGGAGCAACGCCGCGUGAGUGAUGAAGGUUUUCGGAUCGUAAAGCUCUUUCGUUAGGGACGAACGUGCUCUUUGUGAAUAAUGAGGAGUAAUGACGGUACCUAAAUAAGAAGCCACGGCUAACUACGUGCCAGCAGCCGCGGUAAUACGUAGGUGGCAAGCGUUGUCCGGAAUUAUUGGGCGUAAAGCGCGCGCAGGCGGGAUAUCAAGUCUGUCUUAAAAGUGCGAGGCUCAACCUCGUGAGGGGACAGAAACUGGUAUUCUUGAGUGUCGGAGAGGAAAGUGGAAUUCCAAGUGUAGCGGUGAAAUGCGUAGAGAUUUGGAAGAACACCAGUAGCGAAGGCGACUUUCUGGACGACGUCUGACGCUGAGGCGCGAAAGCUAGGGGAGCGAACGGGAUUAGAAACCCCUGUAGUCC